rnacentral:lncRNA from 1 species
AUGGGGUCCUGCCUGCCAGAGGCGCUGCCCCCGUCCCACAGGUGCCACAGUCUUCAGGGUGGGGCCCCGUGUGCGGGAGCCAGCGUGUGGAUCCCACAGGUGCCACAGUCUUCAGGGUGGGACCCCGUAUACAGGAGCCAGCGUGUGGGUCCCACGGGUGCCACAGUCUUCAGGGUGGGGCCCCGUGUGCAGGAGCCAGCAUGUGGGUCCCAUGGGUGCCACAGUCCUCAGGGUGGGACCCCGUAUACAGGAGCCAGUGUGUGGAUCCCACGGGUGCCACAGUCUUCAGGGUGGGGCCCCGUAUACAGGAGCCAGCGUGUGGGUCCCAUGGGUGCCACAGUCUUCAGGGUGGGACCCCAUAUACAGGAGCCGGCGUGUGGAUCCCACGGGUGCCACAGUCUUCAGGGUGGGGCCCCGUAUACAGGAGCCGGCGUGUGGGUCCCACGGGUGCCACAGUCCUCAGGGUGGGACCCCGUAUACAGGAGCCGGCAUGUGGAUCCCACGGGUGCCACAGUCUUCAGUGUGGGAGCUGCUGUGUGGAUCUCAGAGCUGCACCUGCUUCUGGACACACGCUGUCCUCAGAGAGACCCGAGGGGCCAGGCCCCAUCCUGCCGGCCCCAGGUCAUCCGCCGGGGCGUGGCCCUGGACGCUCGCGAGCAGCUGUGGUCCAGCCUGCACUGCAGGGGUCGCCUUCCCUUACAUCUGAGGUUGGCUGCCCAUCUGCGCUCUCCAGUGCUGGCUCGUGGCUGGGAGCACUGGGACCCUCGUCUGCAGGCCACCCCGCCUUUGUCCCAAAGUGGGCCCAGGCGGCCCCUCCCCAGCCAGCACCGGAGAGGGUGCCGGGGCUGUGACGCCCAGGUGAGUGGCGGGUGGCACUGCCCUUGUCUGCAGCCGGGCACCUGCCCCACGUCGUCUCCUGGAAGCCAGGUGCGCUGCUCCCUCCGUCUCCCCUCGAGGCAGGUGUCGGGGGGACAGUGCACGGGGAGACCACUCUGGGUCAGAAUCAGGGGCUGCGUCCACGCCCACUGCCCUCAGCAGCAGCCCCUCCCCCGGGGGCAUCUGUGCCUGGUCUGCUGUCGCUCAGCCGUUGGUGGUGGUGGGCGGCCCUGGCGCCCUGCGUGCUCACGGGAGCUGCUGGAGCCCCAGCCCAGGAGGGCGGAAGCCGCUGGUUUCGUCCCCAGUCCCCAGUUCGUGCAGCUCCUCCUCCGCGCCCCUGCCCUUCCCAGGCUCCCAUUCUGCUGGCGCCGACGCGGGCAUCCUGUGAGUGCCCCAUGUGUUGUCUUAUAA